UGAUCUCAAUUCCCCCUCAGGCUUUUCAUUUGUACAAAGUGAAGGCCUGUCCAAGGGUGUAUUGGAUUUGGGGGUUUCAUGCAGGUUCCUUAGCUUUAUAGGGAAUCAGCUCCUCUUAAAGAUAUUAGCUGGAGGGAUGAAGCAAAAAUGUCUUUUUAGCACUGUCCUUCAAUUGGCUUAUGGUGUAAUACUUGUUUCAUCAUGAGUGAAUUCAGUGCAUAUGGGGGAAUAUAGCCCCAGGAGACUUUUUGUAGCAUAUUCCUCUGCUUCUAAUUUGGUCAGAUCCAUGUCUUCU
rnacentral:misc_RNA from 1 species